UGUCUAAAUAAAGUAUCCAGCUGAAAAAAAGGAAUCCUCUAUUUCAGCUGUCUUUAAAGAAAAAGAGAUCAUCUUGACCACUGAUUUCUUUUUUGACAAGCUACAUAGACUGAAAUUGUAGUGGAUUCCAACGACAUUGCAGUGCACUAUUUCACAAACCUGAAUUCUAACCAUCUGAGGGGAUAGAAGUAUGUAGAAGACCUGGGCCAUGUGUAUGAAAUGGAGAAUGCAGAAAAUCAGGAAUUAGAAAGUAAAAAAAAAAGGUUGCUGUAACAGUAGAGAAAAUAAGUGCUCAUUGUGUCCCUGCUGAAGUCACAUGAGAAAAUUACCUUUGUAAGGAGAUGUCCUGUCCAGAGGAAAUGCAGAUGAUGUUAUAAUUAUAGAAACACACAAAAAAGUGCACAAUACCAGUUUAUAAUCUUACUAGUCAGGAUGCUGUGAUUACUAUGGCCCUAGAAGCUGCAACAUAACAUCUAAGAGAAAGAAUGAAGGAUGUCAGUGAGAUUCAUAGUGAGCAUUGCAUAAGACUGGCCAUUCAAAUGAAUUUUCAGAUAUUUUAAUUGUCUUAAAGGUGAUGGAUGAAUGCAAUUAUGCUGUUCUGUUACCAGAACCCACAGCCAGCAGGCAUUUCUAUGGCAUUAGUCAAAGAUCUACACAAAGUGAAUGGAGAAGGAGGUCUAAAAGAUAUCAUUUAAGUUUGAUGAUGAAAUGCAGUAAUUCUUUGGGUUUGACCAGAAGCACCACACUGCUGAACUAGGCAGAAUUCAAACUUUUAAGACAGAAAAGAUUAUGAGCUUGCUGGAGAAGGAAGAAUAGUUUGCUAAUGAGUUGAGCUCCCUGUAUGCACUUCCAUCACUCACCGAUUCUAUGCAUGUUGUAUAAACCCAUGUCUUCUACAUUUCAGUGUUUGUGCUGGGAGAUUGUUCUGUCUAUUCUGUGUAGGCUGGAGGAUGUAAGAAGAAUUAUUUACUUAAAUAUGCUGCAAAACUAUGGUAUUGUCCACAAAUAUUUGUCUAUCUAUGUCUUUCCUGUACAACAUAAGCUAAAAAACAUAUCCUCUAAAAGGAUGAGAAAAAAUAGGUGAGAAAAAAUAGGUGUAUGAAGUAUAAGCAUUGUUCAUAUAUUUAUUUGUAUAAUGUGAGAAAUGGUGAUAUAUGCACAAAUAACAACAUAAACGCAAUAGAUACAAACAGAGACAAAUAGAACAGAAUCGACAGAAUACUUACAAACAGAGACAAAUAGAACAAAUAUAACAUGUAAUGUGUUCAGUCCAUCUGGUUCUCUGUGUCUUGUAUUUGCAUCAAGUGUUGAAAAUACAGGCAUAUGUUCCUCUUCAAGUGAACAGUUGAUGUAGCUCAUAAACAGAGAGACUCAACAGAAAGGCAGUCAGAGCUGUCAAAACGUGUGGAAAUCCAUAAGGCCUUACAGUAUGACACACUUCCCCAGUUACAAAAAAUUGUAUUCUGAAAAGAAAAAAAAGAAAAAAAAUCUCUAGCUAUUUAAGCAGAUAGAUCCUUGUUUUCAGAUAGAUUGUGAAAAGAAAUGAAAUAGGUUUUAUGACAUUCUUUAUGAAACACUUUAUAAAUGUUGUCAUCUGAUUUCUCAGACCACUUGCUUGUGUCUCCCUAAUAUCAGGUCAUAAAAGAUUUGCUGAAUGGUGCAAAAAGCCCCUGGUCACUUCCAUGAGGGAUAUUUUCAUUUUGUCUUCCUUCCUUCUCCUACACAUUCCAGACCAGCAGCAAAUUGGCUCUGCCAUAGGGAAAGGAACAUAUCUCAAUAACAGAGAACAUCAAGAAGGAGGAGAAACAUAUCCAAAGCACAAUCCUAUGGAUUCUUCUGAGGCACAGGAAGGCCAACAUGCCUGCUGAAAUACAAGGAGGGAGAAAAUGUGGUGAAAAUGUACCAAGAAAUGCAGGACUAGUACAUGGAUGACUAAUCUGACAAUACAUCAGAAAGAAGUGAGUUGUUCAGCAUGCCUUCUCCUCCACGCCUCAAACAGAGUGGCAAAAUGGGGUUUCAAGCAACAUGACUGGAGAGAAGGGAUAUUAAUCAGGUUGUCAUCCUCCUCUUUUCCCUCAGCAUCCAGACUGCUAACCUCCAAAGAGAAAAUGUAUGAGAAGAUGCUGGUGACUAAGUUCAAUCAAGCAUUUCACAGAGGAUGCCUUAGUUCUGAGAGCUUCAGCAGAAAUACCAUUUUACUUCAUUAUGCACGCUUCUGCAGGUAUUAUGCUUCAAACAAGCACUUUCUUGUAAGUAUGGGCAGCCUGGAGAUGUGCAGAACAUCAACAUGAAAAAGAGCCAACAAAGCUGACUGCUUGUGGAGACACAGAACUGAAGAAGUGAUGAAGGGUGGUGACCAACACUAACACGUUUCACAAGUUAUAUACAGCCUGAUGAAAUGAGUUCUUGUGGUCAACUGGUCUUAGUGUCUGCUGCAUGCACUACAGCUCAUCCUGAACUCAUCAUCAUCUCUUUUUGAACACGAACAUGCUGGAAGGCAUCCAUUUUGCUGUUGACAAUAAUGGGAUACAGCCUAUGACUGACUUCUUGUUUGGGGCAGGAGUUUUUCUGCUCCUGAAUGCUGUCAUCGAAGGCAACAAAAAUUAAAAUCAGGAAGGUGGCCCAGCAGAAAAUCACCUGGGGUUGCUGGUCAGCAGCAGCUGAACCUGAGCCAGCUGUGCCCAGGUGCCCAGGAAGGCCAAUGGCAUCCUGGCCCGGAUCAGCAAUGGUGUGGCCAGCAGGAUUGUCCCCCUGGACUUGGAACUCUUGAGGCCACACCUCAAGUACUCUCUCCAGUUUUGGGCCCCUCACUCCAAGAAGGACAUUGAGGUGCUGGAACAAGUCCCGAGAAGGGCAACAGAGCUGGUGAAGGUUCUGGAGGGUGAGUCCUAUGGGGACAGCCAAGGGAGUUGGAGUUGCUUGGCCUGGAGAGAAGGAGGCUCACGGGAGACCUUAUCACUCUCUACAACUACCUGGAAGGAAUUUGACCAUUGGCUCUGAGAGCAGAUGGAUUGUUGAGAUGCCUCUGUAUAGCAGCCUCCAUUGUCUGCUUAGGAGAGAUGAGAACCUGAGAUGAGAUUAUGUGGUACACUUUUAUUCACAUCUCUGAGUUUGACAUGCUCUUAAGCUCUGGUCUCUCAAAUUUUAAUCUUCAGAAGACAUUUUUCAUUCCUUGCCACUUACAUUAAGGGAAAAAAAAAAAAAAUCUACCUGAAAUUCAAGAAGAAGUGUUUUAGAGCAUUUUAAGACUUAUAUUCCCAAACAUUUCAAAUUGACUAAAAACCAGUCUAGUCAAAGCCUGUCCUGCCAGGAAAAGUAGUCCAAUCAAUUCACCAUGUUUUCCAGCUAGGUUUUAGGACUCAAAACAGCGAUAUGCCAAACAAUUUUUAAAUCAUGGGUUUCUCUUUUCAGAGUCACUUGAAGCUGUGGCACAAAGAAAUUCAAAAGUUUAUUGAAAAAAAAAAAAGUUUAUUGAAAAAAAAAAUUUUAUUUUUCAAAAAAAAAAAAAAAGCUCGAAAGUGCUCUGCCUCAAAUGGAAAUGAUUUGGCCAUUUGUAAAGCUCUACUUUCAGUGCAAGGAAUGGAACAUGGGUCUGGGAUUGCUUCAUAUGCCACAAACUAUUCUGUUUGAUUGUAAAUCCUGCCUAAUUUCUCCUUUUUUUUUUUUUUUCCCAAGAGAAAAGCUGUAGAAGUUAAAUCCGAGAUUAACCCCACCAUCGCAAAAAUCUUCAAUACCAUCCUGCAGCCCUUUGUUUCUAAAAAUAAGUUAUAUUGCUAGAAAAGAACAGGAAACUUUAUUUUUAGGCAAACACUUUUAAUUCUUACCCUUUGGGUUGCAGCCAUAUUCUGUCUAGAAUAAGGAAGAAUCUUAUUUUCUCCUGUAAAUAUGUGGUCUGUGGCACCUCUAGUGACUUUCAGUCCAUGUCUUUCUCAACUGAUAGAGUGAGACUAACUGGCCAGGGCUUUGAUGUGAAUCUGCCUCUCCUACCACUGUUUCAAGAGAAAGUCUAGAGACCUUUAACUACAAAUAGCAAAAUUAUAUUACCUGAGCAACAGUACACUUUUCAUAUAGCAAAAUCUCAAACUAAGGAAGGUCAAAUGAAAAUUAAAGUUAUUAAACUUCAUGUCAUGGAAAAUACUGUUAAACAUCUCCAUCCCAGAACACAGUGCAUGUCCUUGCCUCCAGGGAGUUACACGGAAGCUCCUGCAUGGCAGCAAUCUGCUACCUAGGGAAUUUCUUUCACACUGUCAUCCUUUCCAGUCCCUGAGAUUGAGUUUGCAUAGAUACUUUAAACAACUCUUGGGAAUAUUCCUGACCCCUGUAAAUCACUGAUUUGCGCAGCCAAACUUUCAGACCAGUCACUGACUCUGCUUGCUGUCAAUCAAGGCCAUCCCAGAAAAACCCUUGGUAUAUUUCCAGACCAAACACAACUGAAGACCUUUCCCAAAAGAUGCACUGGACCCAGUCACCACAUUUCAGAAGGUCAGAGAGUCUCAUAGUGCAGACAAGGGCUGCUUCAUGCCAGCUGAAUGCAGUGCCAGAGAAUGGUUUGGCAAGCAUCAACAUAGGCUUAAUCUCUCCAGAGACUCGGAAGUCUCUGCAGAGCCUCCAAGCCUCAGCCACCACACAGGUACUGAUGGAUCUGCCCAUCACACUUUGUGGCUCUCUCCCCUCCUGAGCAGCAUCCAGGGCAGUCUCUAUCUCCAGUCACAGUGCUUCCAGCAAAGUCAGUAUUUUUUUUAAAUUGACCUGUCAAAGUAGUGGACAAAAAUCAGAAAUUGCUGGGGGUUUUUUAUUUACAUAUAAAAUCAAAGUGGAUAAUCAGUACUGUGGGUCAGUUCUGUAACAGAGGAUCUCUGUGAUGCAUAGUUCACUUACCCAGACUAACACUGGGUGUUGAUUAUGCAUAAAUGAGCAUUUUCUCUCAGGUUUGGUAAGCAUUUUGUGAAGAAGGAGAGAAAGAAGAAACAUUGCCAUGUCAAACAUGAUUUGCCUACUGGGAUCAUCUCACCAUAACCAUGAAGAAGCCUAAGGCAUUCCUUGUCUGCCAUUACCUCUAUCUACAGCAAUUUGAGAACUGAGACAUCUACCUUAAAUAAAUCUUUAGAUAUUAUGAAAUAUUUGUGUGAAACUUGCUGACCUGUGGUGUAUAGAAGGUCAGACUAGGUGAUAUGAUGUUCUCAUCUGUCUCUUCCUUCAGUAAAGCUGACAUUUCCAAUAAUGUUUUGUUUGAAAUAUGUUAGGAGCACUGAUGAAAUCUCCUUGUGAUGUAACUUUUCAAGGAACUCUCCAGGCCAACCCACAGUUAUAUCUUAUAUGAUUAUCAUAAAUCAAGCAUCUAUUUCCAAAAAUAUUCAGUUAUGUGAGAGCCACAAAAAAAAGAAAACACCAAUAUAUCACACUUCUCAAAUCAGAUACCCACUAGGAAAGAGAGACAAGUCUUUUUAAGGGCUCUGGAAUUCUGAGUAAGUUAAAAGAGAGAAAACCCCAUAAUAAAGAAUUCAGUAUGAGAUGGAAUCUUAACCUGACUUUAUACCCUAUGAUAGGUGUUUUAUAUUAAUUUGUUUCUUCCUUUUCCUUUUUUAUUGAAUGUGCUCUGAUGUUCAAUGAACAAGUUUUAUCAAAAAGGAACAUUUAGGAAAAAUGAAACCUUCUUUAAACAAAAAUUUUAAAGUGGGAAAUUGUGAUACAACUACAGCAGAGCGUGGGUAUACACGGCACUCUAAAGAAAAGGAAUUAUGUAGGUAUAAGAAGAAAACAAGAUGAAAUGCUGACAGAACUGACUAGAAAGAAAUCUCUUUCAAAGGCAAUGCAUCCAUUCUUCAUAGCAAUGGACAUCAAUACUAUUUUGAAGUGGUCUCACUUCUUUCUUGUGCCUGUACCCUUGUUCCAGGUUAAUGGUUCUCUCUUGCUCAAACAAAGUACAGCCUGUUUUCUUGCAUUUAGUCCAGGUUUUUAUUGGAAGCAGCUGCAGUAAAGAGACCAGAAGAUAAAAAAAUCAUUAGUGACAUGAAAGAAUAUUUUUUUCAGGUCUUUGGCGUACUGAAACUGCAGAAUUUGAAACAAUGAAUAUAUCUUCUUCACCUACAUCAAAUCUUGAAACCAGCUGAAAAACAUAUGGAGAUAUUUGGACAGGUCUGCAAAUAGGGCCAGAGAAGUCAUGUGAAUUCAGAUCGAGGGACUGGGUUGCAUGUGAGAACAUGUUUUACAGGAGGUGUUUUUUUUAAGCUUUGGAAAAAGAAAAAGAAUGAGUGAGAAAAAAAAAAACAAGUAAGUUUUAAAGCCCUUGGUAAAGAGGAUCCUGUGUUUUGGAGAGAAGCCAGAACAAACUUUCAGAAAGGCAAAACUUGGUGAGAGAAAUACCCACAACAAAUGUGGGAGCUGCACAACGGGAGCAGUUAUCUGUAGCAUCCUCUCUGCUGCUUCUGCUUACAGCAUGUCUGGAGAGGGAUCAGCAGUAAUGGGGAGUGGGAUACAUGGCUCAAAUGCUCAUAUGUCCUGGUCAAUGGUGUUAGGACAGGACUGUGCCAUAAGGAAGGUUUUCAGGUCUCCUCAAGGAAGGCUGCAGGAAAAUUAUCAGUCAAUGCUUUUUGUGUUCCUGCCUGAAAACAGGCCUUGCAGGAACACUAAGGUGAAAGAAGCCUCUUUGAACAGAAACACUGAGCUUUUGGGGAGAAUAAAAUAACGAGCAAGAUGAAGUAGGCAACAGGAAGAGCAGGCUGAGUCAUAUAGGGCUUAGAGACUUCUAUGCACACAGUUAUCCAUACACCCACUGAGGCUGGCUUGGUAAAACUCCUACUACUCUUGACUACUUUUAUAACACCAGUGAACAAAUCUGCCCUGACUUUAAGUGUCUUCCCUUUACUGAAUUCUAAGGGGUUUCUUUUGUUAUGAAUCUCUCGUUAGGAACUCUGUAAGGUACUUAAUCUUUGAUACUUCAGAAUGGAGAAAAAAACCCAAGAAAAAAACAGGUAUUAUUGCAACACAGAAGAGAAGACAUAACUUUCGUGCCAUCCAAAUAUAAGGAAUCAUUUCAGACUUUGUGGAAUAAGAUGUAGAGAAAAAGCCAUGAAGCAGGAGAUGGAAUAAAAGUCGAAAGGGCGUGAACCCAAUCUAGAAUUAAUCCAAUUUUAUACAGGGGGACAUGACCAUACCAGCUACUUUUGAAAAUUGUUGUAGAUUUAUAUCUAGUUUGUAGAUGUAUAUCUGUUUAAUACCCAUAAAAUUAGAAUACAUAACUAGGAACAAAAAGACCUAAGGUUAAAGACUUUUCUGGUUGCCUCAUGGUUUAUAACUGCACUUGAGAUCUGAAACCCCGGACUACAAACAAUUUGUCAGCUACAGCAGCUAGAAGACCUAAUCAAGUCUAAGCAGAAAGAAAUGGAUGUAUUAGCUAGUUGUAAUGUUUAAGGUGUCUCUAUUCUUAAAAUUAGUAAAUAUAUGCCUUUCUCACAGAAGAGUUGGCACUGGAUGUUGUUUCCUGAAGAUGUUUGUCAAGUACCAGCACUGCUGCUAAAACAGAAAGUUCUGGCUACUCCUGGUAAUAUCCCCUAAAGGAAAACAACAGUGGCUUAAAGUAACACUGAUAAGAAAAGUGAAAUAACUUUCUUAAGCAGUAGGUAGCACACUCAGAAACAUUUAACUUUUUUUUUUUCCUUUGCUACUGCUACUGGUUUCUUAAAAUGUGCAUAUCUGCAUGUGCACUGUUUCAUAAUGAGAAUUUUUUUUCCAAUAUUUCCAUGCCUACUUAAAUUUAACAACAUACACUGUCGUUCCUCUGAAAUUAUAAAGAUGAACUGAUUUUGAUCUCACUGCAGAGAUUCCUUACAAAUGGCUUUUUAGCACUCUGCGCAUAAAAAGACCUUGAUUUUGAUCAGCCUGGUGGCAUUAUUUGUACUUAUUUAAACUGAAAUGUGCUACUGAAUCAGAAUAUCAGAAUAAUGUAGAAAGCUAAAAAAUGUACAAUUCUGUGGAGGAUCAAGCAUAAUUUUUGAUAUUUCUUUGACCUUUGCAAUCAGGAAAGAUACAGUUUUUAUUCCAUAGUGUCUAUAGAAGUAUCAGAAUUUUUCCUACAGGGUAUUGACUAAAAUAUACUUAUCCAGUGAAACAAAAUUUAGCAACUGCCUAUCAUCUGAUUGACUUUUACCACUUGAAUUCUGAUUCCUAAGACUAAAAUAGUAGACCAAAAUUAGUCUAAGUAGUGAAAUACUGUAUCUUCUGAAUCAUUCUGAUUUACCAUAACCAGAACUGGAAACUUUUCCAAAGUUCUUUAUAUAAUUUUGCUUCAAAUUCCAUUCUCCUCCAAUAUACUUGAAGCAAAGAACAUGAGGAAAUAAUAUAUGACUCCUUUGAAGUAAAAACUCAUUAAUCAUGUAAAUAAAAGUGGUUAAAUAUAUUUUAUAAAUGGUAUUUAAAAUAUUGAAAUGUUUAUAUCAAGUAGUCCUAAAAAGAAAAUCUAAUUAUACAUAAAGUUGUUGCUACCAUUUUUCUCACAUGAAUAGAUAUAGGAAACAUCCACCAAGUCUUUUGAAAAUUAAAAAAGAAAACAGUGAAACCAUAAGAGUCAUUAUCCAUCUGUGGAAUUUUAAGCUUUUAUUUUGUGGCAAAUUUAUUUAAAAAUUUGUGCUGGUAAACUUAUUCAAUGUCCAUUGGUCUGAUUUUCUUGUCAACUUUAUGAUUUAUAAAUUGAGUUGGUAUUACGCAAUUAAUUUUGAUAACUCAAAGCUGUCAAUCAAGACAAAGCAAUAUUACUUUUAUUAUUGACUAUUUUUCCUCUUACAUUAGAUAGCUCUCUUUCAGUUAUGAAUGUGUUUAUCUUUCCCAGUAACUUCACAGCUCAAAAUAACCUGCACAAAAUCAGUGAUUUAGUCAAUUAUUGAAUGUACUGAAUUGAAGCUACAUUCCAAGAUUGCUGCAUUCACUGAACAUCAUCAUGAAAGGGAUCGUGUACAGCCUUCGGACAGUGCAACUCACAAGAUUCUAGUAAAAUUGCGGUAAUUCAGAUUGAGGCAUAUAAUUUAUACUGGUCUUCCACACAGAAAAUAAAUGAAGACUCCAGGUUUUAUUGCUCUGUCAUUGUUUAAAAAUAAUUUAAAUAACCAACAAGAAUUUCUUUAUUAUAUUGAAAUCGUACCACUUCAGUCUAACUCAGACUAAUAGUACACUUGAGUUACACUAAAUCAAAAUAAAUGGACAGAAAUAGUUCUGUUGGUUAGGGCAGACUAACAGGAUAUCCUUUUUCUUGUUUCUCUUUCUGACUCUCUCAUCCUCUGAUCCUGUGUUGCUUAAUAUUUCUAGUAUAGAUUUUAAUGUCAGAACUGGAAAGGAAAACUGUUAAUGCACUCAAUUUUCUAUGCUGGAGUUUGAGUGGGAGAAAUACAAUGCAUGUUGUCUAAAUAUGACUUUAUGGCUGUGCAAAUCCAAUUCAAAUAUCCCAGUGCCUAUCAAUGUGCUAUUCAGAAAGCAUAUAUUAAAUGUUUUUUAGGGAAGGAAAUGGAUAUGUAACCAUGUCUGGUUAUUAAUUUUCUUUCUAAUUUCCUGCUAGCAAAUGAUACAGAUUUUUUUUUCUAAUUUAGUCUCUAUUGUGAUGAAUUUAACUGUGUUUUACAUUAUUGCAGCACUUUAAGAUUUGGACUGAUCCAUUUACAGAAAGAAGAAAAGAAAAAGUAUAAGCAGAAAUAUAUCUUCAGUAUAAAGAAUUUACAAGCUAAAUCAAGAUGAUGAACAAGGCAAAUAGUGAGUGUUUGGAAAUACUGAGAAAACAGUGACUAGUUAACUAGUCUAGUUAAGUGACUAGUUUAAAGUCUAAGGAUGCUGCUAGGUGGAUACAUGAUUUAUACAAAUAUCUUGGAUACUUCUUGUUCAAGUUUCACAACAAUUCAUAGAAGAGAGAAUCUAUGAAUGUCAGUGGUUUUCUCCUGCUAGUUACAGAUAAGCAUUUCCCUGCUAAUACUAUAGUGAAAUUAGGAAACAUUUGCUGUCAUUGUCCAAGUAAUUUUGCUAAUUCACUUUGGACAAAAUGUGUACAUGUGUCUUUGUUGGAUUAUUCAUUAUGGUGAGACAUUUCAGGAAUUACUCUCCCCACAAGGCAGUCAGCCAGUGAGAAUUCAGCGUGGACUCUGGCACACUGAUAAUUUCUGCUCUUACCAGUUUUCAUAAAAUUAGCUGGUUAAGUCUGAGCAUAAUAAUCUGAAAUUUGUGUGAUUCUGAAGGAUAUUUUGAACCUAGAAUUAUUUUCUUAAUUCCUUUCCUUUCAAACUUUCCUGCUGUUCUAAAUAUGGUCUGUAAUGUACAACCAAAAAUCCAUCAAAUGUUAAUUUUAAAGAGUUAUCUCUUUAGAAAGCAGUGGUUUUUUUGUUUUGCUACUCUUCCCUGGCUAUAAUAUUCUUUAUCACUUCGCAGCAUUUUACUAGACAAAACCAAGACCAGGCUCUUGCUCCCCCACUAAGAUAGUCCUGGGGCUGAAGUGCAAAUGCAAAACAAAAAGGUGUCUUUGAGUGUUGUCUGAAGAUGUAAAAAUUUUGAUCAUAUUCCUAUUUUGAGAACAUUAUUCCGAUCUUACUUUAGGUGCAAUGAAGAUUCAAGAUUUUGGUUGCUAUUGAAAAGAUGUGCAGUCCAAGACAUAUCCUCAAGGGUCUUCCCAAGAAUUCUGUUCACAAGGAAUAAUUUAUGACUCGGGAGGUAGUCUUCUAUCUGUCUGUCUGAACAAAUAAAGAUAAAAAGUCGGCAUUACCAAGCAUUUGCUUUUCAUUUUGCUUUCAAAGCAAAGCACAAAAUAUAGAAUCAUAGAAUCAUUAAAAACCAUUGAGUUCAGCCAUUGACCCAGCACUGCCAGGUCUACGCCUAAACCGUGUCUCUAAGUGCCACUUGAACACUUCCAGGAAUAGUGAUUCCACCACUUCCUAAGCCUGUUCCAAUUCUUGACCUCCCUUUCAGUGAAGAAAUUUUUCUUAAGAUCCAAUUUAAAUCUCCCCUGGCUGCUUCCUCUUGUCCUAUCACUUCUUUCAUGGGAGAAGAGGCUGACCCCCACCUGGCUACCUUUCUUUAGAGUGGUAAGUUUUCCUCUGAGCCUCCUUUUCUUCAGACUAAACAACCCCAUCUUCCUCAGUUUCUCAACAUGGGACUUGUUCUUUAAAGUCUUCACCAGAUCCAUGUCCUUCUAUGGACAUGCUCCAGCACCUCGACGCCCUUCUUGGGAGGGACCCAAAACUGAGGAUUCAACAUGCAGCCUCCCCAGUGCCGAGCAGAGGGAAAUGAUCACUGCCCUGGUCCUGCUGGCCACAUUAUUUCUAAUGCAGGACAGGAUGCCACUGGCCUUAUUGGCCACCUGGGCACACUGCUGGUUCAGUCCAACAUCCUUUUCUGCUGAGCAGCUCUCUAGCCAUUCUGCUCCAAGCCUGUAGCAUUCUACACCUUCAGCUCUUUCAACAAUGUAUUAUGGCCAAAAAGGAUGCUCUUUAGCAGUCAUUUUAGGUGAGUGACCAUUAUAUUGUCCAAAAUGAUGGCAUCACAGACAGCAUAGAAUGGCUGAAGUGGGAGGGAUCUUGGAGAAUGCCCAGACCAAACACGGCACCAACCACUGCCGCCUGCAGCAGGUUGGUCACCUCUGUUGUAUUCAAUUUGGCUUAUGGGUCUCUUUAGGAAAUCCAACUCUGCACACAUAAUCUCAAACCAAAACUAAAAUAUUAAUGGAGGAAUAACUUGGCAUCUCACCUUUCUUAUAUGCUAGAGCCGCCCUCUGAUGAAAUAUUCUGUCUCUUUUAAUUAAACAAUUGCUUAAAUUAAUUAAACAACUGGCUUAAAACAAUUUCCUUUUACAAGUCCUCUUUCUCAUAGGAAAGUCUGUUUUUCCAAUGAGAAAUGGAUGACAGGAAAAGCUGCAAGUUCUCUACAGAAAAAAAGCUGCAGGAGUCAAGGCUGACAACACAGAGAUGGUGUAACUCUUCAAAAUGCAUCUUACAUGGCUGCACCUGGAGCAUCCUGCUCUCAGUAACAUCUGCUGCACUCCCACAUGCAUCCCCAUGUGCAGAGUGUGCAUCCACCUAGGAGAGCAUGAGGCACUGCUGACUGGCAGCAUUCCUGCAGGCUCAAACACUGGAAAUUACUUCACAAGAUGGUUCUCCAGGUAACAUGAAGAAAGUAAAGUCCAGCACAUUGAAGUUCUGGUCUCUGCAACUUCUCUUUGGAAAUGUUGCCCAAUGAGGAUAUGGAAGAGCCCUUUCUCCCUGAGUCUGGCUGAAGAAGUCUCCAGCAGCACAAGUCUCUGGUGUGAUGGACAAACUGAAAAGGUGAAGAGGCUUCCUAAGGCUACAGAGUAAGGAAACUGGUGACAGAGAAGAAUUUCCCUGAAUUACCCAGAAUCUACUCUAUGUAGAACAUGAGGAAUUGCAAGAGCCUUUUAUACAACGCUGCUUUCACAGAAGCAAGGCUUUCUUCCACACCAGAGGCAAGCCAAAUGCCCCUCAGGAAUAUCCUUAAUCAUUGUUAAUAUUUAUAAAAAAUAUCAAUUAUUAUAGCAUAUUAUAAAAUGACUACUAUAAUAUGGUAACCUGAGCAGUACUGUUUGUUUAGAUCCAAUUAGUUCCAGCAUUCUGAGAAUGAAACAAAGGGACUAAACAUGACCCAUAGGAAAAGAGUACUUUCAAAAUGAGUGCAAAGUGGCAACAUUUGCUGUCACUGGAACCAGACAGAAACUGGAGGAUUGUAUUUUAAGAAGAAUGUUAAAGCCAGCUAUAAGAACAGAGGAAAGAACUUGGUAAAAUAAGAGAAAUUAAUUUGUUCCUGUUCAGCUUCUGAUCAAUGCAAAAUGAAUACCUGGCUGUAACACUUUUGUGAAAGUGGGAGUCACAUUUUGGCAUAUACAGGAAAAAUAGACAAUGGGAAAACUUGUCAUUCAUAGAUGCAGACUAUUAAAAGACCAUAUUGAAAGAGGGAAAUACAAUUCCAUGCAUGGAUGCUCAUGCUUUGGCAGAAAUAUUGUAAAUAUUGAAGUGCUGCAUGGAAUUUAACAAGAAUUGAAACACAGGAUUGAUGGUUCUUUUUCCUUUCUAUUGGCCACCCUGAGAAGAGUUUGUCAUUUGAAGAAUGUAAAAGAACUGACUUCCCAGAAAAGCAUGUUCAUAUUUUAAUUAGGAGUCUAAAAACCCAGGACUUUUCUUAAACAACCUUUUGUAACUGGUACAAAAUAUGUCAACAGUGGUGUUUGUAGAGAAUUGCACGAGCUCUCUGCAUGCACACCACUUCACAAAUGCAGGCUGACACAUCUCCAGAGCCACAGAUGAUUACUGUUUUCCUCUAAAAUGUUUCCUGAGGAAUUUGUUAUGGUCAAAGUCCAGCCACUGAACUGCACCAACACUUUCCAGAGAGGCAAGUCAGAGACAGAAGUAUCUGCACUAAAGCUAGUGGCCCCACUGCAGCCUCGUUGUGCUCUGGUUCUGGAGGGGCAGUGCAGCCUCCCCAGGCAUGCUCUGUGCCCUGCCUUGCUGGGUACUCGUAGAGGCGCGUGGGGGCUGACACCCUGGACUGCUCCUCAGCAUCCAGAGAUGUUGUGCAAGAGUUUGGAAGAAUCCAAAAUCAAGGCUAGUAAUGAAAGAGUAGUACAGUGCAAAUGUGCAGGAGAUAAUAAUUCAGAUUCCAAAAACUGCACCACAGGAAAUUGCCUCUGUUGCUGAGUUAUAGCCAUAUUUUUAUGAGUUUCUCAUUAUGGAAUUCUCUGUUACCAUGAGUGAGACUUGCCUAUAAUGUCUAGUCUUUAGUACUUAAUGAGAUACUCAUUUAUUGCAGCAGAGUCUAAUAAAGUCAACUGCUAAAAGUCUAAACUGCAGUGACCUACAUUGGAAACCUCAGGCACCAACAGUCAGAGUGGAUUUAUGGCCUUUGAUAACAUUGGCAACAGCUUUCUCCUGGUUUUUAAUAUGUGGCAUCUUAUUCCUGAAUACAGCAUACAAUUAUUUACAGUCUUACUGGUCAUGGCCUAUUAGUGUACUAAGUAUUUUCCCCUGUUAUUGACUAAACCCAUCUAUUUUGUCUUUUUCCAAGCCACAGCAUAUGUGUACAUCACAUCCUGUAUUUAAUGACACUUUGUCUUCCUGAUGAAAAUUACUUUUGUGUUUUUGCAGCACAAUUCUCAACAGAUAGAAAUAGCAAUUCAGUCACCCUUAAUAGAUGCAAUUUAAAACAGAAUUUAGCAUGAGCAGAAUUGCUUUUGUUUCAAGCAGAUGCUGUAACAUGAUGCUUGUGGUGUUCUCCAUAGCGUAUUCCACACAGUUUUUGAGGAUAUUAUAAGACAAAGUGACAGUGAUUAAUGCUAAUAAAAAGAGCUGCAAAAUUACCUGCAUGAAAUCACUGCAUAUCUCUUAAUUAAACCUGUCAUGCUGUUGGCACAAUAUUUGAGUUCAGGUCACUGACACAGGAAGAGUUUUGCACACCAUGAACAUUUAGUUAAUGAUUUCUAGGUAAGUUCAAAACAAUAUUUGAUCUUUGAUUGAGAUAUAAAUUGUGAAAGACAUAAUUCAUAUCAAGGCCAAUUAGAAUCUUUUCAGUACACAGUACAUAACAUGUUCUAAUAACAUUAGCAUUUAAUCUACUUCAUCCGAGGCAUGAAACUCAGAAUUAAUUCUUCUACUUAGUGGUGUAAAGGACCUUAAGAGCAGAGAAUACAGAAAAAGUCAGAAUUAUACUUUAUAUCAAUAGCAAAUAUCAGGCUGGGUUUGAUGCAUAUCUUUUGGGGUUGUAGUACUUCAAUUCCAAAUUACUUCGUUAUUACCAUAGGUGUAUAAUUAGUUUUCUCUUAUCAUUGAAUUUGGUUCUUAAGAAAAAACAGUCGAGAAAAAAAAAAAAAAGAAAACAAGAAAACUUAAUAAUAAUAAUAAUAAUAAUAAUACCAACUUGAUAGAGGAUUAAUUUUUCAUGUAUUGUCUCAUUUAACCGGUGUGAAACACUGUUGAAUUAUUGUGUUAACACUACUACAACUUCCCCAAUUCUAAAAUUUUGUAUUAUUUAAGUAAAUGGUCCUGCCACCUUAAACAUCUGUUUUAGGUGACAUACUCAUAUGUUAUGUAAUCUAGAGAUGUGUCAGGUUAGCUUUUGCAUCCUUUGCUACUACAAUGACCCUAAAGAAGUACAAUAGCUUAUUCAACAUCUCAUAACCUCCAAGAAUGACUUACUUUAAUAAUUUUAUUAAAAAAAAAUGUAGUAGUAGUUGGUACUAUUUGAAUAGAUUUACUUUUUUAUUUAAAAGUAGGGUUACUGCUUUCCUGGUUUGGUUUUUACAUUAAUUUAAUAAAAUCUUCCUGUGUUUGCUUCCUUUGUUGCUCUUUAUUUUCAAGGUGACACUGAAUUUUUUAAAUUAAAGCUGUAAGAGACCUUCAUAAAUAUUUUCUGCUGACAUAAUGCCGAUAAACACAGAAUCUCAUUGGGGAUUCAUCAAAUAUCUUCAAAUAAAAUGGAACUUUACAAAUGUUA